AAAUGUUCUCACUUAAAUUGGGGCAGUAUAUAUUAAAAAUGUCUGAAAAGCGGAUUUGGUGGCCUUAAUAGGGACGUUUACCCUAAAGGUCGUUUAAGUAGAUAAGUGAAAUUUCAAAAGUGGCUAUAGAAAAUGGGCAGGAUGCGAAUUGACUUGAGAAAGGGGGAUUUGAAAAACUUGCAGGUCUCUGCAGGUUCUGGAUCGAGGAUACAUCGCAUUAAAAGAUGAUGUCCGCACAUUGCUCAAUGCUCCCAAGAAAAUGUGUCAUCCCAGCCAGGGAUGCUACUGCACAUGUAUUAAUAAUGCAUGAAGUCAGUGAGUCAUUUAUUAUAUGUAUGCACAUAGCCUACCGCUAGAAAAAACAUGAAAUUUGUCACCCUUAUCCAUGUAAACCUAUUUACAAUGUGAGCGAUAACGUAUAAAUUGCCCAGCUUGUCUGCUUAUUCAUACCGCAUUUUGUAGAAGGCCUAAUGUUUUUAACAAUAGGUAGCGUUUAGCCUAGUAGCCUAACUUGACUAGUUACACGAAGUGCUGUCCCGAGCGGGAGUGAAUUUGACGGGGAACGUGCAUUUUUACCUUCAAUCUCUACCUUCAAAAAAAACUAUUUGCUUUACCCCAGAUAUAAUGGCACACGUGUCGUCCAAAAAGUUCCAAUUUGACUCUUCUGUCCAUAGAACAUUAUCCCAAAAUUCCUGGGGACCAUGCAGGUUCUUUCUUUUGCAAAUAUGAGAUAAGCAUUGAUAUUUCUCUUGGUUAGCAGUGGUUUCCACCUUGUUGCUUUCCCAUGAAUUCCAUUUUAACCGAGUCUCUUUCUUAUUGUGGAGUCGUGAACACUGAUCGAAGCUGAGAGGAGUUCUUUGGAUGUUCUUCUGGGAUCUUUUCUAACUUCCUGGAUGAGUUUUCCUUGGAGAAAUUUUGGCAGACUGGCCACUCAUGGGAAGAUUCACCACUGUUCCAAGUGUUCCCCAUUUGGUGAUAGUGGCUUACCAGACUGAUCCCAGCUGGCAGUAUCUCCAGUCUACUCUGUCCGCAUAUUUGUGAGCUUUGGCCACUCCCUCACUCUUCCCUGCCAUGGAGCCCCCAGCAGGGAUGUGGAGUGGCGGUUUCAGCAGGAUGAGCUUCCUGACUGGCUGCAUGUGGCCGAACUCUACACCGGAGCCUUUUCUUCUGGAAACGGCUUCCGGGGACGCGUGGAAUCCUUAUACCUAACAGAGCCGGGAAACUACAGCCUCACCCUCAGUCCCGUGGUGUACAGUGACCUCGGCAUUUACAAAUGCCAGUACAAGGAUGAGACUGAGAUCCCUCUUUCAGAUGUGAAACUAGAAAUUAGAGUCCCAUCACAUGUUUCCAUAGCGAUGGGAAUGUCCGCCAGUCUUCCUUGCUUUGGGAAAAUUAACACACAAGCACGUGCUUAUGAUCUGGAUAUCCUCUGGAAGAGAGGCGGAGAGAACGUUUACCAGCUCCAUAAGAACAUCAUCACAUAUGGGCCCAGGUUCAAGAACAGAACUUCAGUUUCCCCAGAACAAGCCCUCUAUGGAAACAUGUCUUUAACCAUCAGACAGGCACGGUUUUCUGAUGAAGGCGACUACCAGUGCUUCUACAGUAGUCCAAAAGAGAGUGGGAAUCCAGAUUCUGCCAGUCUCUUUGUUACAGGCCACCCAACCCAGAACCUCACAGUGAAGGCCGGUGUUUUGCUCUCCAUACCGCUCUAUACCGCAGACCCAGUGAGGGUAACAUACAGUGCAGGCCUUGGUUCAGAUGAGGUGCUGAUAUUCAAUGCAAAUAAAGGCCCAGCCAGGUAUGAGGAGCGUUGUGCUCAGAGAUGUGAGCUUCUGGCCCAGAACUACACCCUUUUGCUGAGGGGUGUGACACUGGAGGAUGCCGGAGUCUACAAGGUGACCGAUCCCGAGACUAAGAAGACUAUCGGCUCAGUCUCUCUGCACGUCUCAGCCCCUCCUCUCUCUGCUGGAGCAGUGGCUGGGAUAGUGCUGGGAGUGCUGGUGGUGCUGCUGCUGGUGUUGGGGGCCUUUGCUUUCUGGAAGUACCACAAAGAACAAAAGCAAGCAGAGCCUGUAGUCAGUUACCAAGCAGCCAGUGCUGAAGAUCAGAACAUAUCCAGCAGCAGAGCAGCAGACCCAGCCCGAGACCCAGACCGCUCUCCCUGAACUCAGUCUCCCCGUGUCCGAAUCGGAUCCUUCUCCCACCAGUCCCCAUCUCCUCGUGUCCGAAUCGGAUCCUUCUUCCACCAAUCCCCAUUUCCUCGUGUCCGAUUCGAAUCCUUCUCCCACCAAUCCCCAUCUCAUGUCCGAAUUGGAUUCUUUUGCCAAUGAACAGAGUGGUCAGACCUGAUUGAAAUGCAGGAGAAAAAGUGUGGAACCGCUAUGACCAUGUGCUGUACCUGCAGGGGAAUCUGCUGGUAUGAAUUUUAUUGGAUCUGACCAAACACGGAGAGGGACAGAGUGGAAGGGACAGACUUUUGACGCCCCUUCACCAAAAUUUCUAUUGGUAUUGAGUUUGUAGUGAGCAUACACACAUACCUCAGACACACAGACACAGGCCCCCCUCAGUACUGUGGUGGAAAUUACCUUCAUUUCCCCCGGUUGGUAAAAAGAGUCCAGACGUACACACAAUAUUCAGUUCAGAUACCUUUAUUCAGCCGAAUAGGAGAAUCCACACAGCGCCACGUCUGUAUGAAAGCUCUCAGAACAGGUGAAAAGCCAUUCAUGUUAUACAAUUAAAAGUAGGUGAAAGGCGGGUACUGGAAUUUUCGCAAAACCUGUCUCUCAAACUGUUUUGCAGCUUGUCUCUGGUUAAAAACAUUGGAUUUCUGUGAUACAGACUUGUUUAGACAUUCUGACUUCUUCAAGGCUAUCAUGUCACAGUGACUUAAAACAAUGAAGAAAUACAGAGACAGUUUUCUGGGGAAAAUAGGAACACGCACGGGAGGGGCUAUGCAUUCCCAAUAAUUCUCAGUUAGACAGAAAAGAAAUUUAAAAUGAUUUCUUAAGGUUAUAUAAAAGCGAGUACAUAUGUAAACAGUAAUUUCUCAUUUUUCCCUUACAGUACGCUCACUAAAUUCAGUCCUCCCAUUUUUAAUUGUGCUCCUUCACUUUAGCCUAUCUAGACAAAAUGCAAAAGAUACCUCGGUACCAAAAUAGAAAUCCCAGGUGUAAAAGCCAAACUCUCCCUCUGACACACCUCCUCCAAUAAACAAAAAACCAACCUGGCACAGUUUGAGAGGAAGAGAAGGAAAUUUACUAGUUCAUUUUAAAUAUGCUUUAUUUAAUUGACAUGAUUCUCAAUAAAUACAUGGGAAGAGUAUUUCUGGAAAAAAUACAACAAACUGAUAUAAAAAUGCAAUAUUUUUUAUAUAAUAUAUAUAAAAACAAAAUUAAUCUCAAAAUAGUGCCAAAGAUCCAGUUGCCAAAGAUCCAUCAGAACUGCACUGUUGGGUCAAUCAGUUGCCACUUUGACAAAUUAGACUUUUUGUAACCAGCUCUAAACUUUAAAGUUGUUUUGAGCUUCAAUCAGCACGUUUUAUGGAAGCUACUAAGCUAGUUUUCCAACCCCUUAAAUAAUGCUUUAGGUCUUCUUCAAUCAACAUGACAGUGAAGGAUGGUCUCCACCAUUCCACAAAAAGGACAAUGACCAAAACCUUUUGGAUUAAUCACAGAAUUAAAAUAUUAACAGCAAUAGUACCAUGUAGGAUUCUCCACUGGAGAUCACCUGAUGUUCUUCAGAGGGGCUUUAUAAAAAAAAAA